rnacentral:rRNA from 1 species
GAGCGGGAUUAAGUAGCAAUACUUAUGAGAGCGGCGCACGGGUGCGUAACGCGUAUGCAACCUACCCACAACUGGAGGAUAGCUUUCGGAAACGGAAAUUAAUACUCCAUAAUGCAGGGGUACCGCAUGGUACUAUUUGCUAAAGAUUUAUUGGUUGUGGAUGGGCAUGCGUCUGAUUAGUUAGUUGGUGAGGUAACGGCUCACCAAGACAUCGAUCAGUAGGGGGUCUGAGAGGAUGAUCCCCCACACUGGCACUGAGAUACGGGCCAGACCCCUACGGGAGGCAGCAGUAGGGAAUAUUGGGCAAUGGGCGAAAGCCUGACCCAGCCAUGCCGCGUGAAGGAAGAAGGCCUUCUGGGUUGUAAACUUCUUUUAUACAGGAAGAAAAAGGUCAUGCGUGGCCAAUUGACGGUACUGUAUGAAUAAGCACCGGCUAACUCCGUGCCAGCAGCCGCGGUAAUACGGAGGGUGCAAGCGUUGUCCGGAUUUAUUGGGUUUAAAGGGUGCGCAGGCGGCGCGUUAAGUCAGUGGUGAAAUCCUCCCGCUCAACGGGAGAACUGCCAUUGAUACUGGCGUGCUUGAGUACGGACGAGGUAGGCGGAAUUUAUGGUGUAGCGGUGAAAUGCAUAGAUACCAUAAAGAACACCGAUAGCGAAGGCAGCUUACUAGACCGUAACUGACGCUCAUGCACGAAAGCGUGGGGAGCAAACAGGAUUAGAUACCCUGGUAGUCCACGCUGUAAACGAUGAUCACUCGAUGUGUGCGAUAUACCGUACGCGUCCAAGCGAAAGCGUUAAGUGAUCCACCUGGGGAGUACGUUCGCAAGAAUG